rnacentral:lncRNA from 1 species
CCCCCCUAUCAUCUCCGAAGCUCAAGAUUACAUUGAUAACACUGGCCAACAUCCACAGUCUACUAUAGAUGAUUAUGGUGUUAGUCAGUGCCCGGGCUUGGUGGAUUAGGUUGUUGAACAGCUAUGGGUUAGUCAUCAUGGGCACUGGUGUCGACCAUGUAGACUUGCUCGAAGUGGGUGGCUAGGUGACUCCACCUAG